rnacentral:misc_RNA from 1 species
UCCUCAAACGAAAACCUGUGAACACGUUUAAAAAUUCGCGUUGGGCGUCGGGGUAAAACCUGCGCCCCUCGCCACCUGCCCGGCCGAAUGGCGACCAUAACGGGCUGUCGGUCGUGUCGGGCAACCGAAUCAAAAACCGGCGCGGGAAGCGCCAAGGACUUUACGAAAUGGGAUGCCUUCCUGCGGAGAGGGACCGUUCGCGGAUUCCUCGCCGUGGGGCUUGAGAGGCGCCUCCGAACGAAACAUUACACGACUCUCGGCAACGGAUAUCUAGGCUCUCGCAUCGAUGAAGAACGUAGCAAACUGCGAUACUUGGUGUGAAUUGCAGAAUCCCGUGAACCAUCGAGUCUUUGAACGCAAGUUGCGCCCGAAGCCAUUAGGCCGAGGGCACGUCUGCCUGGGCGUCACGCAUCGCGUCGCCCCCCCCCCC